rnacentral:misc_RNA from 1 species
UUUCCGUAGGUGAACCUGCGGAAGGAUCAUUAACGAGUUAGGGUCUUCUAGGCCCGACCUCCCAACCCUUUGUUUACUGAACCAUUGUUGCCUCGGUGGGUCCGUCUUACGACCGCCGGGGGAUCGCCGCGAGGCGCCCCCCGGCCAGCGCCCACCGAUAGCCCAACCUUUAAAACCCUUUGUGGAUCGUGUCUUAUGUCUAAAUUUAUGAUUAAACAAUCAAAACAAAACUUUCAACAACGGAUCUCUUGGUUCUG